rnacentral:lncRNA from 1 species
CUAGAAAUUGUGAGCAAUUGACUGCCAAAUCAGCCCAUGAAGCUGGAAUAAUAUCAGGGUUCUCUGUAGAAAAGUUGCAAUUCAGACCUGACACAUCAGGAAACCUCACUUAAACCACAAAAUGAUGUUGUAACAAAUUACAGAAUGAAUUAAGGAGUAAUAGAAAAGAUUAAUACUGAAAAGAGGUGAAUAAGACAUUUUCAAGAUGUGCAUUAAGGGCCAUACUUAAAUCAUAUUAGCGUGCCUUUAAAAUCAGAAUUCAUUGUAAAAUACCCAAAAGCAGAAUUUAAUGGAUUACGAUUACCUUGAACCAAAUAUUAAUAUCUUGGCGAAAAUUCACCAAAAUAGGCUCUGAGUGUUCCAGUCUACAUGACUUCCAGAUAGGCUAAACAUGGGAGGAUCAUUUUGUGAAGAAUAAUACUGAUUUUCACCUUCAGAUAAUAUGACAGACUUCAGGCCAGAGUUUAAGAACUUUCUGAACUCCCAGCCCUAGUAUCCGAAACUUUUGAUGAGUUGUAUGAAUACAGAUAUGUAACAGAUCCUGGUCCAUCAAGCUCGUGUGAAGGAGG